GCCUUUGUAGCCUAAUGGAUAUGGCGGCAGCCUUCUAAGCUGCAGGUUGCGGGUUCGAGUCCCGCCAAAGGCA
rfam:Archaeon CG2_30_31_98 isolate CG2_30_31_98 cg2_3.0_scaffold_368_c, whole genome shotgun sequence.